rnacentral:rRNA from 1 species
AAAGCUCAAAUUUAAAAUCUGGCAGUUCUUGUAGCUGUCCGAGUUGUAAUUUAGAGAAGCGUUAUCCGUGCUGGACCGUGUACAAGUCUCCUGGAACGGAGCGUCAUAGAGGGUGAGAAUCCCGUACAUGAUACGGACUACCAGUGCAUUGUGAUGCGCUCUCAAAGAGUCGAGUUGUUUGGGAAUGCAGCUCAAAAUGGGUGGUAAAUUCCAUCUAAAGCUAAAUAUAGGCGAGAGACCGAUAGCGAA